rnacentral:misc_RNA from 1 species
UGAGAAUUGCUUCCUUUUUAAGAGGAUGUCACUUUCCUUUAAAUGACUUACACCAUGCUACAUUUGAGAUAGGGAUAAGGAGGGGAUGAGAAAAGAUAACUUGUUAUCCUUGGCUUUUUUGGUUAACUUAGAAAAGAUGGGAGUGGAAAAGAGGAAGGAAUGUCAUUAUUUUGUUUGGAUGGAGAACGCAGAGGAAGGGAAGGAAGCAAGUUAUGAUUUUAAAAGCACAGUGGCAUCCUUUUGAUGCUGCCAAUUUCUUUGAAAGUCUGUCAUGCAACAUAUCUUUUUAUGUUUUACUAAUAUGAUGUGAAUAUAUGUAGUCUGGCUUUCCAAAAUCUUUGAGCAACUAGGAGAGUUAAAAUUUUGGCACGUCAUGGCUCCAUAAUUUAACGAUCUCCUAGCUUUACAAUGUCUUCACUGUCAAGAGUCUAAAAGAAUUUCCAUGCACUUCUCAUCACGCGGACUGUUUCCCAACUGUACGUGCUC